rnacentral:rRNA from 1 species
UACGAAGGGGGGCUAGCGUUGUUCGGAAUUACUGGGCGUAAAGCGCACGUAGGCGGAUAUUUAAGUCGGGGGUGAAAUCCCGGGGCUCAACUCCGGAAUUGCCUUUAAGACUGCAUCGCUAGAAUUGUGGAGAGGUAAGUGGAAUUCCGAGUGUAGAGGUGAAAUUCGUAGAUAUCGGGAGGAACACCGGUGGCGAAGGCGGCUCACUGGCUCGUAACUGACGCUCAUGCAACGACGAGCAGUGGGGA